UACCAAGUCCUGUGCUCAGAAGGGCCCCAUU
rnacentral:piRNA from 1 species